UACGUAGGGGGCAAGCGUUGUCCGGAUUUAUUGGGCGUAAAGAGCGUGUAGGCGGCCUGACAGGUCUGCUGUGAAAACUCGAGGCUCAACCUCGAGAUGUCGGCGGAAACCGUCUGGCUAGAGUCCGGAAGAGGAGAGUGGAAUUCCUGGUGUAGCGGUGAAAUGCGCAGAUAUCAGGAAGAACACCGGUGGUGUAAACGGCUUUCUGGACCGUAACUGACGCUGAUGCACGAAAGCGUGGGUAGCAAACAGG
rnacentral:rRNA from 1 species